rnacentral:rRNA from 1 species
AUUGAACGCUGGCGGCAGGCCUAACACAUGCAAGUCGAGCGGAGCGGCGGACGGGAGAGUAAUGCCUAGGAAUCUGCCUGGUAGUGGGGGUUAACGUCCGGAAACGGGCGCUAAUACCGCAUACUAUCAGAUGAGCCUAGGUCGGAUUAGCUAGUUGGUGGGGUAAAGGCCUCACAAGGCGACGAUCCGUAACUGGUCUGAGAGGAUGAUCAGUCACACGGGAACUGAGACACGGUCCAGAUUCCUACGGGAGGCAGAAGUGGGGAAUAUUGGACAAUGGGCGAAAGCCUGAUCCAGCCAUGCCGCGUGUAUGAAGAAGGCCUUCGGAUUGUAAAGCACUUUCAGUUGGGAGGCGUUACCAACAGAAUAAGCACCGGCGAACUCCGUGCCAGCAGCCGCGGUAAUAC